GUCCACGCUGUAAACGAUGUCAACUUGGAGUCUGUGACAUUGAGCGUGGGCUCCGAAGCUAACGCGAUAAGUUGACCGCCUGGGGAGUACGGCCGCAAGGUUAAAACUCAAAUGAAUUGACGGGGGCCCGCACAAGCGGUGGAGCAUGUGGUUUAAUUCGAUGCAACGCGAAGAACCUUACCUGGCCUUGACAUGUCUGGAAUCCUGUAGAGAUACGGGAGUGCCUUCGGGAAUCAGAACACAGGUGCUGCAUGGCUGUCGU
rnacentral:rRNA from 1 species